rnacentral:rRNA from 1 species
UGUGAAGAAGGCCUUCGGGUUGUAAAGCACUUUUGUCCGGAAAGAAAACUUCGUCCCUAAUAUGGAUGGAGGAUGACGGUACCGGAAGAAUAAGCACCGGCUAACUACGUGCCAGCAGCCGCGGUAAUACGUAGGGUGCGAGCGUUAAUCGGAAUUACUGGGCGUAAAGCGUGCGCAGGCGGUCUGUUAAGACCGAUGUGAAAUCCCCGGGCUUAACCUGGGAACUGCAUUGGUGACUGGCAGGCUUUGAGUGUGGCAGAGGGAGGUAGAAUUCCACGUGUAGCAGUGAAAUGCGUAGAGAUGUGGAGGAAUACCGAUGGCGAAGGCAGCCUCCUGGGCCAACACUGACGCUCAUGCACGAAAGCGUGGGGAGCAAACAGGAUUAGAUACCCUGGUAGUCCACGCCCUAAACGAUGUCAACUAGUUGUUGGGGAUUCAUUUCCUUAGUAACGUAGCUAACGCGUGAAGUUGACCGCCUGGGGAGUACGGUCGCAAGAUUAAAACUCAAAGGAAUUGACGGGGACCCGCACAAGCGGUGGAUGAUGUGGAUUAAUUCGAUGCAACGCGAAAAACCUUACCUACCCUUGACAUGGUCGGAAUCC